CACGGGGGGAGCAAGCGUUGUUCGGAUUCAUUGGGCGUAAAGGGUGCGUAGGCGGCGCGGUAAGUCGGGUGUGAAAUCUUGGAGCUUAACUCCGAAACUGCAUUCGAUACUGCCGUGCUUGAGGACUGGAGAGGAGACUGGAAUUUACGGUGUAGCGGUGAAAUGCGUAGAUAUCGUAAGGAAGACCAGUGGCGAAGGCGGGUCUCUGGACAGUUCCUGACGCUGAGGCACGAAGGCCAGGGGAGCAAACGGG
rnacentral:rRNA from 1 species